rnacentral:rRNA from 1 species
GACGUAGGGUGCGAGCGUUGUCCGGAUUUAUUGGGCGUAAAGAGCUUGUAGGCGGUCUGUCGCGUCUGCCGUGAAAACCCGAGGCUUAACCUCGUGGCUUGCGGUGGAUACGGGCAGACUAGAGGUAGGUAGGGGAGAAUGGAAUUCCCGGUGUAGCGGUGAAAUGCGCAGAUAUCGGGAGGAACACCGGUGGCGAAGGCGGUUCUCUGGGCCUUACCUGACGCUGAGGAGCGAAAGCGUGGGGAGCGAACAGG